UCAUCUAUAAACCAUUGUUUUGAUUAGUAGAUUAACUGUUUGGUGUAUAAAUUGUAAGAAAAUAGUGAAAAAAAGUCCUAAAAUUUCUUAUUUCGUCUGACAAAAACAGUUAAAAACUGCAAAUCAUCUUAAUUUAGAAACUGGAAUAUUUGGUAUUGUUGCUUGAAAAAACAACUUAUUAUCACCACGGAGUCUGGCACAUCAGCCGCCGUGUUGUGCUGAACGUAACGGCUGUGAAACAUUCAAUAACUUCAUGAGGCUGCCGCUCACUCACUCUCAUUCACUGUCUUUGUCUCUUGACCAGUGUUUGCACAGAUUUAGAAGCUGGGUUCAUGAAAUAAAACAAAGCCAGAACACAACAGGUCGAGUGUCGUAGUCUAGUCCAUGAAUCCACCUGGAUCACUCAGUUUCAGAGACGUUUCAGGCUGAGUGUGGAGGAGUUUGGACCCGUCUUAUUGCCUGAUUGGUGUCCACAUCGAGACAUUGGGUGUCCAAAAGUUGGACUUGGCUUAACUUCAGCUGGAUUCUGUCUGAAUGUGCUCUUAACUUUGUGAUGGCAAAAAAAGUUGAGAUGAAAAUAAAUCUAAAAAAAAAAAAAGCUUUGGAGCAAAAACAAACUAAAUGAGUCCAAAUUAAAGAAGAGAAGAAACGUUUCCAAUGCUUGUGAUGAGCUUGUUGUGGUCGUACUAUCGGGGUCACGUUGUGUUGCGUGGAAGUUUUACUGAUUCAAAGAUGGUGAUAACACGACUUUUAAGCCACCCAAACAUCUAUAAAGAGAGUUUUACAGUCCAACAUCACAAUGGAUGAACUCUUAUAAGUGCAGAAGGAUUAGAAAAGCAAUAUUUAUAUUCGAGAAUAAGAGUUAUAAAAUCAGAGGGACUACUGAAACAAACAUCCCAGGGCUUGCUUCAAAUUCACAGAUAACUCUCCUGGUCAAUUUAAAGAUGAUGUAGGUUUAUUAUUCGUCGUGCCCCAGCUUGAAUUAUUUAAACGUUUGUUUCUGGUGUCUUAUGUUUGGGUAUCUGUUUGUCCGUAAAUACAACAAUAUCCAAGUCACUGCUGAGGAGAAAGAAGCUAGGUUAAUUAAACGCUUUGUCGCUGAAGUUGGGAGAAAGAAAAAACAGAGUAUCGAAAGAACAUAAGCUCUGUGAUUGUAGCUUUUGCCAAAAUGCAAAAAAAUUGGGGUCGUGUUUAACUUUCCUCCUGAGCGAGGCUUGCACCUUUUUGACUUCUUAUCAAAGAACCAAAUAUUUCCACUCAGCGUUUUUUCUUUAAAGCCCCUCGAGACAAAUUUGUGAUUUUUGGACUUUAACUCACUUAAGUCAAGUCAGGUUAAUCUUAUUUAUAAUUAUUUUUAUUCAGAGUUGUGUAGAUUUAAAGUUCUGCAGUGUUUUUAUUUCCGUGUGCGUCCUUGAGAAAUAAUCUGCUGCUUUUUAAGAGUUUGAAGGACAAACUCUUCCUUUCCUCCUGUCUCGCUGCUCUCCGAGAUCAGAGGUCUGCUAUGAAACAGCCUUUUUCUGGAGUUUGUAGGGAUUCAGUGUCUUGCCCAAGGACACCUCGGUGGGGUGGCUGCUUGCUGUCACAGGUCCAGGUCUCUUGCAGAAGGAGUCACGCUAAUAACGUCUCCGGCAUACUGCCUCAUAAUACUGUAAAUAACUUUUUUUUUUUUUCUCCACUCUCUCCACUUGUGUGUAAAUGUCAUGAGUUGUGAUUGACGCUGUGCGUCCUCUCUGGCCAAGACAGUGUGGCAUUGUGUG